UACGAGGGGGGCAAGUGUUGUUCGGAAUCACUGGGCGUAAAGGGAGCGUAGGCGGGCUCUUAAGUUGGAUGUUUAAAACCGGGGCCCAACCCCGGCGUGGCAUCCAAAACUGGGAGUCUUGGAUGGAACAGAGGCUAGUGGAAUUGGAGGUGUAGCGGUGGAAUGCGUAGAGAUCUCCAAGAACACCCGUUGCGAAGGCGGCUAGCUGGGUUCACAUUGACGCUGAGGCUCGAAAGCGUGGGGAGCAAACAGG
rnacentral:rRNA from 1 species